GCCGGCCGCUCUGGUGACGAAGCAGAACGGUGCGGGGGAAGACACCCGCCGCUCCCGGGGAGUAAUAAUUAAGCCAUGAAAGUACCUUUAUGUCUUUAUUUGGCGCACAUGGCGCAGGUGUUGAGCGUUGGUGUGGCUCCCGCACAGGCAGGAGAUGGCGGAGCUGCCCCUUCCCUGCCUCAGCGUGUCCCGGCCCUGCCGUGUCCCUUGGGCGGGCGGAGGGCAUCCCGCACCCCCCAUGGCCUGUCCUGCUCCCCAACGAAGGGCCGUGGCACCCGGGGGUGGCCACUGACAAGACUUGUGGCACCACAGGAGCCUUCCUUAACCAAAACACAAGACUGGUUGUACCCUGCAUGGUGCCUCACAGGCCAGAUGCGUUCCUGCACGGUUUUAAACUCAGACUGGCUGGGCAGUAUUUGAGGUUGUGUUGGAGCUUGCCCUUUGGUGUAAGAGUUGCGGGGUUCAGCGUGGCUGCUGGUCAUUAGGAGAAGCUGCCAAGCGUCCUCUCUUCUCUCCCAUCGCAUCCAUCCUGGAGCCUGUCUGAGAGAUUGCAUUCUUUGGAAGAUCUGAGCGCUUCAGAAGGACUAAAGAAUUAUGCCUCACAGCAGCCCAUAAGGUGGUAAGUAUUAUUACUGUAUUUUGUAAAUGUGAAAGAAUUGUGGGAUAUUGAUAAACAGAGAAAUUGCCAAAUCAGUCAAGUCUGUAACAAAUAACUUUUCCCUGUAGAAAAAUACUGCUCUUUCAGAUACAAGACAGGUACAACGUUUAUACGUUUCAGCAAAUGAGCCAUUGCUGAAUGACUUUAAUUUGAUUGCGCCGGAGUGAGACACUUUUAGGGCGUAUCCUGUGAAUGUCACUAUGGUGCUGUAACAUAAAAAAUAGAUUGUGACUGAGAAGGGAUGUGUAAUCUCUGAUUGUUAGUCUUGAAUAUUGGCCGUGGCUGACAGUAGAACAGCAGCUGGUUGGAUGGGUCUGCGCGGUAAUGAGGGCUAAGAAGAUCUUGCUUUCUGUUGAACUGCUGUUGGCCUUCCUUAUUGUAUUACCUCCUCUCCUAGCUGCAGGAAUUGGCAAUCUUUCAAGGAGGUGUGCACAGUGUUGUUGUCCCCUGCUGUGAAUUAGAGGUAUUAAAGCAGCAAGAGCUCUAAGUUCUGCUUCUCAGAGGUUUGGCUGAGUGAGGGAUCCUGCAAGGGGGUAACAUCCAGCACCUGUGGGAUUUGGCUUUGGAGGGUGCUGGGGUCAAACAGGUGUCCCUCCUGGUGCCACAGCUUCCAGUACCUGGCUCUGCCUGAGCUCUAGUGUCUCCCAUCAGAAGUCCUUUACCACAGACUUGUGGCUGUCCACUCUCAAGCCAUGUUUCAGUACCUAUAGCCAUUGUUCCAUGGAGACAUGACUAGCCAUAUGGUAGUGCCGCUUCUAUCCCCAUUUUAUUAUCUAGAUUUAAUUAACAGGCAAUUAUAAUAACCAGGCAGACAAAAAUAAUAACCUACUGCCAUGCCACAUUGUGAAUAGUGGCUGUAGUAGCCACACCAAUAUUAUUUGACUUAAUAUGAAUGUGUUUUACAUAUGCCAUCAAGAAUGAGGUGAACAUGAUGCCUCAGACAAAACGUGUAUUACCAUGUGGUCCCUGUUGUUCAAAAGCUCUGGAAACGCGGCUGUAAUCAAUAACAGUAAAGUUCUGAAGAAUGAAAGGAUGGUCACAACCAUUUAUAUACAAGUUAAUGCAAACCAGAAGAAACGCAUAACCAAAUGCAGACAGGAGUUGAAGAAAAGCUAAAACUUAGUCCCAGAAAUUCUGUACUAAAGGCCUAGACUUUAACAGGAGUAAACACCCUUAAGACACAGUUGAGAAAUCUUUGUGCAAAACAGACAGAAUAUGUAAGUAAAAGAUGUCAAGCGACGUUUGGCUGCUAUUGGAUACAGCAUGAAUGCCAUGGAAAUGUUAACCUAAUUCUGUCCCAAAUCUGAAACAAAACUUUGCUCUUGCCACCUAAGAUUUCUGCUAAGCUUUGCUGAGGUGCAGUUGUGGAACAACUAAUUGAAAGCAAACUAUAAUUCUAAUAAUUGGACAUGGUGUUUAGUCACCAGUGUUGUCCAACACUAGAAAGUGGAGGAGGAAACAAUUCAGUUACUUUAUGGUCCUUUACAUUAAAAAAAAAAAAAA